CAGUAGCCGCGGUAAUACGUAGGGGGCAAGCGUUGUCCGGAAUUAUUGGGCGUAAAGGGCUCGCAGGCGGUUUCUUAAGUCUGAUGUGAAAGCCCCCGGCUCAACCGGGGAGGGUCAUUGGAAACUGGGAAACUUGAGUGCAGAAGAGGAGAGUGGAAUUCCACGUGUAGCGGUGAAAUGCGUAGAGAUGUGGAGGAACACCAGUGGCGAAGGCGACUCUCUGGUCUGUAACUGACGCUGAGGAGCGAAAGCGUGGGGAGCGAACAGGAUUAGAUACCCCUGUAGUCCCUGUCUCUUAUAA
rnacentral:rRNA from 1 species